GGUGGAGCACUAAUAGACUGAAUGUAGGGAUGAACAUCAUGACUCCCCUGUCUAGCAUAUGGACAAUCCCUAAAUCUGUGGCCCAACUUACCGCAACCAAAACAACCCCUCCGAUCGACUAAGCACUCACCAGGAUGGUCCCUACCGCACUUCGGAGAUGGUGUAGGACGAGGUCUGUUACUCACACUAUCCUAGGACCUGGAUAUAGUAGGCCUAUUACCUUGCUCCUGCCUAAUUUUGAAUGCGGAAGCACUGGCUAAUGAAGGCGCUGGCAC
rnacentral:lncRNA from 1 species